UACGGGGGAUGCAAGCGUUAUUCGGAAUUAUUGGGCGUAAAGGGCGCGUAGGCGGUUUUGUCGGUCAGAUGUGAAAGCCCGGGGCUCAACCCCGGACGUGCAUUUGAAACAGCAAGACUUGAGUACGGGAGAGGAAAGCGGAAUUCCUGGUGUAGAGGUGAAAUUCGUAGAUAUCAGGAGGAACACCGAUGGCGAAGGCAGCUUUCUGGACCGAUAUUGACGCUGAGGCGCGAAGGCGUGGGUAGCAAACGGGAUUAGAUACCCCGGUAGUCCACGCAGUAAACGUUGUACACUCGGUGUAGCGGGUAUUAAAACCUGCUGUGCCCAAGCUAACGCAUUAAGUGUACCGCCUGGGAAGUACGGUCGCAAGACUAAA
rnacentral:rRNA from 1 species